rnacentral:tRNA from 1 species
GCUCCAUUAACUCAAGUGGUAGAGUAACCGGCUUUUAACCGGUAGGCUGUGGGUUCGAGUCCCUCAUGGAGCA